CGCUGAGUUUAUUCGCCCUACUAACCUAAUUUCCUUAUCGAUUCUUCGUACUUAGCAACACCGAGCGCAAGGAUUCCUCGAGAACGUUGACGUAUAUAUGUCUUCAUGAGAUGGUCCAUGCAACAGCACAACAGCAGCAGGAGUAAGCUGCUUGUACGAGUUCGGACUGCUCGUAACACGGUAGCCAACACCGGUGGUGGGUUUAAAUCAUAUUAAAGCACGUCCAGGACGCGCUAACCGUAAGCCUGGAUUACGGCUACAGGCGGUUUCAACGUACCAACAUCGGAGCCACCAUCACAAUAUGUAUAACGCCGUAAUUCGAUCGUCUUAUAGACGAAAGCAAGAAAGAAGAAGAAGAAAAAUAGACACGGUAGAAGAGACGGUAUAUUGGGAUCUCGGAAGCUACCCGUGUAUCGGAGAUUUAUCGGGAAUUUAAUAUUUUCUUUCCCCGAAAGUUUAGAUCGAUAUCGUGGUACCCUUCUACCUUGGUUAGAUCUUUCCUUAAAAAAAAAAAA